AUUUAGAUAGCUUAUAUUUAGAGCAUGAUAUUGAAGAUAUCAGUGAGAUUUUGGUCUUUAAAUA
rnacentral:tRNA from 1 species